AUUGAACGCUGGCGGCAGGCUUAACACAUGCAAGUCGAGCGAGCGGCUGACUUGUGAGUAAUGUCUGGGAAACUGCCUGAUUGAGGGGGAUUACUCCUGGGAACGGUAGCUAAUACCGCAUACCAUCAGAUGUGCCCAGAUGGGAUUAGCUAGUAGGUGGGGUAAUGGCUCACCUAGGCGACGAUCCCUAGCUGGUCUGAGAGGAUGACCAGCCACAUUGGAACUGAGAAACGGUCCAGACUCCUACGGGAGGCAGCAGUGGGGAAUAUUGCACAAUGGGCGCAAGCCUGAUGCAGCCAUGCCGCGUGUGUGAAGAAGGCCUUCGGGUUGUAAAGCACUUUCAGCGAGGAGGCGUUACUCGCAGAAGAAGCACCGGCUAACUCCGUGCCAGCAGCCGCGGUAAUUC
rnacentral:rRNA from 1 species